CCAAAGAAGUGGCUACAACAAUGUCUCUUGGGAAGGCUUCCUGCAUUUCCUGCUAUUGGUCAAGAAAGAUUCACUUGUUGCAAAUCUUGAGCAAGAUUUAGGGAAAGGGCCGGCGGUCAGGGUUCUCCAAAUUCUUGAAGAGCAUCAUAUGCAUGUGCCCUCCUGCCAGCUUUCCCGGGAAAAAGAAAACCUCUUGGUUCUUGAACCUGCUAUAGUUUUUAGAUGUUACAUGUGCAAGUUGGGAUCAGCCUUCAGAUUUUUCAUUCAUUUCAUUUCAUUCAUUCAUUCAUUCAUUCAUUCAUAUUCCAGGCACUAUACACUUGUUAAAAAUCCUCAGGGCACAAGCAGAGGAAACUAUGGCAAAGAGACCAGAAGUGAGACCCAGGUGGGCUGGGAGGGAAGCAGGCUUUUGUUUAGGGCUUCCUUACGAAAACAGACACCCAGCAGCAUUGGUCCAAAGAUGCAUCUCCCAAGGGCACAUUCUCCCACAUGUAUGGAUAUCAGGCCACCCCAGUAGGCAUAUUUCUCCAUAAACCUGCAGCUACAGAGGACUUUUUGCAAACCUGGCUUGAACACAAGAUUUAAAGACGUGAUUCCUACCACAAGACUGUGAGCAUUUGAGUCAUCUUAAGGCCAAGAGGUGGUAUUUAGAGCUGUUUCUGCACCCCCUGCCCAAGAAAACUGACCUGAAAGCCAAAGUUGGUUAGUACUGAGGCCCAAGUACCUGAGUCCACAGAGCUGAAGAUUUUUCAGUGCUAUAUCACUUCCCGUUACUCACUCAGAGAGCUGGGCAUGGUUUCUCUUCACGACAGCUGCAGGGCUCACAAUAAUAAAAUGGAAGAGUUGAGUGGCACUCACAGGUUCAGCUUGCCUGCGUGCCUCCCACUGCAAAGGAAGAAAGGAAACCCAGGAACAUGGAGGAUAUCUUGCCUCCACUUCUCAGGGGUCUCUGUCUGGAUCCCCACCUCGAGGGUCUUCAGCAGAACUGAGACUGCACUGUCUUGAUUCCGAUUCAGUGUUUUUUUCUUUCUUUCUUUCUGUAUGUUCUUGCUUUCCCUAAGCCUACAGGCCAGGUCAUAACUUAGCAGCAGGCAGAAGAAUAAUGACAUGACUGUAACUGUGUGCCAGUAUAAUACGAAUUUAAAGAGUACAAGGUGACACCAAGAUCACGGUGGCACCAGACUGUAACUGUUGCUUGACCUUCCACCAUUAGAGAUUCAUUCUUUUGUAAGGGGGAGUUUGGGUAUUCUUCCAGAAUUUCCUCAUGUGGUGCAGAUCCACCAACAGGCGAUAGCUAACAGACUGCAAGAGCUGCUUCUCCAGAACAGGUGAUUCCCAACCCUGGUGAUGCCGGGACAGGGCAUCACUUUGGAAUGCAUUACAAUAAGGAUGGAUUUGGGGCCCAUGCAAGAACGGGUUCUCACCCUGUGGUAGGCGUUCAAUAAAUGCUACCAGCUGCUGGACUAGGAAUGUGAGACAGAAUGUGACUGGGAAGCUCUCUUCAAAGACUGAGCAAGUGUUCAGGAAGGCAGAGGAAAAGAUAGUACUGCUCACGCUCCUGUGCUUUCAGAUGACAUUUGGCCCAGGGUUUUCUGCAUAGUAGGCAUCAAGACCCUGUGAGAACCAGUCCCUUGCUUACCCCAAAGUCUUCCAGUAACAAGUUGAUCAGCGCUGAUACUUUUGCCUCUGGCUAAAGAAGGGGAGUUUGUAUUAUUAUCCUACGAGUGAAGGACGGAGAAAGAGACCAAGAUGAAGAGGGGACGAUGUGUCCCUUUUAUGCUACUCUGACACUGGAGUUUGUGCCCUUAGAGAGGAAUGGAAGUGUUGAGGCCAGAAGUGGAACAGGUUGCUUCUCCAGGUGCCCUGAUGGAGCUCUGAACACAGGCGUGGGCCUGGGGGCUCGUCAGACCCGUUCAUGCUUCAGCACCGUGUCCUCAUUGUCAACCCGGGCAAGAGAAAGGAAACCUCCAAGACACUGGGCGGUGACUGUUGGGAUUCAGAUGUAAAACGUCCCUGAAAGACUCACGUGCAUGGAAGGUGACUGGAUCACGGCGCGCUAUACUCAUUGGUGGAUUCAUCCUGGAAGGCUGUGUUCCUGUUCCUGACGCCUCCCUUCUCUCUCGGAUCCUGGCUGCCAUGAGGUGUAGGUAUUUUGUCUGGACAGAAAGUGACUAAGACAUGAACCAAGGGGAUGGAGAUGAAGAGAAGAUGACUCCAUGUAGAUUCGCCACAGGGCGGGCUACUUCCAGGAAAGAUGACACACUGGCUGGUUCUCCAGCAGCCUGCUGGAGGCUUUGCGGCUGUCACCUGUAACUCUCCUUGCGUACCUUGGGGCAGCACAUUAAUUUGAAUCUUCUGAAGUCAAGAAUCACAUAAUAGGUAGAAAUUCUCUUUGUAUCUGUCUAAAUACAUAAACUGAAUCAAAGAGAAGUAAUUUUUGGACAGUCUGCUGAUUUGCCUGGGGUCACUGGGAGCUGGUGAGCUGAUGGGGUUACGCUGACCUAUUUUGCAGAGGCGUGUAUGUGGAGGAAUUCAUUGAUUCCGCUAGGGAGCUCUGCCCUGGACCAGCGAGAUCAAGUGAUGACUGCCUCUAACGGUUCCUGGUUCUGUCUUUGAGGCUGCUAGAGUCAAAGAUUCUCUUAAAAAAUCCAAAAACAAAACAAAACAAAAAACCCCUUGACAUAUCUUUUGACCACUGAGGCCAAACAGUGGCCCAGUCCUGGGUGACCACUGUGGUCAGCACGACUCCUGUGGCCGCCAUUGCAACCUCAGACCCAGUGGAACUUUCCCUUCCAUUGCUCUCGGAGACACGAGACAGAGAGGGUCCUCAGCUGUCCAGCGCUUGCUUUGGUCCCCACAUGUGAGUUUUGCUGCAAGAUGCUUUGGAGCAAACUUUGUUGUGAUUUGGAUGGGGUCUGUAGUGGAUUGAUAACUGGUGGUCAACUUGUAACCCCCAGCUGAACUGAGUGAGUGGUGCUGGGUGUGGGA